rnacentral:rRNA from 1 species
UGGGGAAUAUUGCACAAUGGGCGGAAGCCUGAUGCAGCAACGCCGCGUGGGGGAUGACGGCCUUCGGGUUGUAAACCUCUUUUGGCAGGGAAGAAGCUUUUGGGUGACGGUACCUGCAGAAGAAGCACCGGCUAACUACGUGCCAGCAGCCGCGGUAAUACGUAGGGUGCGAGCGUUGUCCGGAAUUAUUGGGCGUAAAGAGCUCGUAGGCGGUCUGUCGCGUCUGCUGUGAAAUCCCGAGGCUCAACCUCGGGUCUGCAGUGGGUACGGGCAGGCUGGAGUGCGGUAGGGGAGAAUGGAACUCCUGGUGUAGCGGUGGAAUGCGCAGAUAUCAGGAAGAACACCGAUGGCGAAGGCAGUUCUCUGGGCCGUAACUGACGCUGAGGAGCGAAAGCGUGGGGAGCAAACAGGAUUAGAUACC